rnacentral:rRNA from 1 species
GUGCUGCAUGGCUGUCGUCAGCUCGUGUUGUGAAAUGUUGGGUUAAGUCCCGCAACGAGCGCAACCCUUAUCCUUUGUUGCCAGCGGUCCGGCCGGGAACUCAAAGGAGACUGCCAGUGAUAAACUGGAGGAAGGUGGGGAUGACGUCAAGUCAUCAUGGCCCUUACGACCAGGGCUACACACGUGCUACAAUGGCGCAUACAAAGAGAAGCGACCUCGCGAGA